UUUUACGCUAAUUAGCUUUUAGCAGUUUUUUUUUAUAUUUUCUGUUUCUUAAAUUACAAGGCCUUACUCGCUUUAUCUGUUCUGCAAAAUAUAUGUCUAUCUAGCUAUAAGGUGAGUCAUAGGUAUAUUUGAAAUAUAUCCUACUUAUAUAUAAUUUGUCGAAAAAAAUAAUUAGUUAAUGAAGUCUUUGAGACGCAUAUACGUAUCAGAUAUGCGUACUAGAUAUCUUUAUGACAGCAACAAGUUACAUAUAAAAUAAUUUUCAUUCAAGAACCACUUAUCCAAUCCGAUCGAUUGGAUCGAAGCAACACGUAACACCGGUCUUGUACUUUGACUUUUCAAUAUCUCGUAGAAUUUAUUAUGUCAUCCUUUAGUUAAAAACUUUUAUACAAGCUUGUGUCGCUCGAAUAUAAAAUAUUGAAAUUAUUUUUAACUUUAUUACCGUAACACAAUAGUUUUUAUCUUUAUACUGCUUUUUUAAGCUUCUCUUAUUCGCACAUCUCAAUAUCAGAUAUCUUUUCUAAUUUCCUAUGUCUAAUAACUUGAAAUAACGCGCUGUAUUACAAAAAUAAUUUUUGCUCUUUGAUACUUACAAUUAGAGAAAAAACUAAAUUUAAAAGAUAAGAUGUGUAAAACUCAUUAAGCACUUAUUUCUUUUUGCAGAUAAAAUCAUUUCACAAUGAUCGAAUGUUUUUACAUUAAUGAAAGUUGCGUCGAUAGUUAAUGAAAAAAAUUAACGUUCUUCAAAAAUGAAAAUAGAAGCGUAAUUUGCUUACACAAUCUGUGAUAGAAAUUUGCUCGACUGUCUAUAAACAAGCCUACUGUUUAAUUAUGUCGCGGACUUUAUAUUUAAAAAUUUCUAAAUUAAUUUUUCCUCUGCUUGCUAAAUUGCGUAAUUAUGUCACGAUAAAUGUGAGAUGCUAUUAUAUUAUAUAAUAAGAGAGACAUAAAACAUUAUUAUUAUAUAAGUAUAUGUAUCAUGUCGACAACGUAUCGAUUUUUCACGAUAAUGAUAAAAAAAUGCCAUACCGUUUUUUAUGACAUUUCCAAUGAUGGGAAACAAAUGACGUAGAUUGCAAGAUCAACUCGCAUGUGAAACUAGCUGCUAGCAGAUUGUAUUAUAGCAUGGUGUAAUAGUAAAUGUCACAUAGACGCAGCCUUUCUUCGUCGCCGAGUAAUUCAUCAGGUGUCAGCGAAUGGCGAUAAUUAUCGCCACGCGGCCCUCGCCAUGUGCCUUGCCAUCGCUAUGUACGUCGCUACCGGAGCUCUCAGUAUAAUCCAGCAAGUCUUGUCGAUGAUCGGCGUGUUCCUAUUAACUUUACUGGGUAAAGCGAUCUUGUUAGUCGGUCACACAGUAACAAGAGGUCACACCUCGAGGGAACGUCGAGUUACCAGUGAGGAACGGGAAUCAUACACCGAUUCCGAGGACGACCGUGUCACCAGGAGCGAAGCAUCUCUGAAAUCGAGGCAUUCCUCUCAAAUGACAUCUGUUAAUAUACAAAGCGACUCGAUUCAUGACACUUCUAUUUCCAUCUGACAUUCGUCAACGGAUAUUGAUUAUGCGAGGUACUAUACAAGAUUAACGCUGACAAUAUCGUACCUUCAAAUACUCGGAAAAAUAUUUUUUUUGUCUAGUGCAAAAGUGUAACUGUUAUCAGUUAUGUAAAUAAAUUAUUGCGGAAAUAAUUUCGAAGUAAUAACGCAAAAUUGCGGAAAUAAAUGUAUAAACUACAUGUAAGCGCAA